rnacentral:rRNA from 1 species
GUGAGGAAUAUUGCGCAAUGGAGGCAACUCUGACGCAGCCAUGCCGCGUGCAGGAAGAAGGCGCUACGCGUUGUAAACUGCUUUUAACCGGGAAGAAACCCCAGGACGUGUCCUGGGUUGACGGUACCGGAGGAAUAAGCACCGGCUAACUUCGUGCCAGCAGCCGCGGUAAUACGAAGGGUGCAAGCGUUAUCCGGAUUCAUUGGGUUUAAAGGGUGCGUAGGCGGAGAGUUAAGUCAGUGGUGAAAUCCUGCAGCUUAACUGUAGACUUGCCAUUGAUACUGGCGCUCUUGAGUGCGCUUGAAGUGGGCGGAAUGUGCCGUGUAGCGGUGAAAUGCUUAGAUAUGGCACAGAACACCAAUUGCGAAGGCAGCUCACUAAGGCGAUACUGACGCUGAGGCACGAAAGCGUGGGGAUCGAACAGGAUUAGAUACCCGUGUAGUCC